rnacentral:lncRNA from 1 species
CAAAAAGCAAGCUUGAGUAGCUUGGGCUUCACCUCUUGUUUUCAGGAUGUGCUUACCUAAAGUGGAGAACACUGUUGGCGAGGACUGGUAGCUUAUGCUUAGGGAAGACACUGGACAUCUGUUUUCAGAUAUCACAAAGCUAAGAGACAGUGCUGAAAUCUAGGAUGAGUCACAGCAUCACCAAGAUUGGAGAAGACCUCCAAGAUCAUCCAGUCCAGCCCUCCACCUACCACCAUUUCUCCCCCCUAAAACAUGUCUGCCUUCUUCUGCAGAGAAAGUUGGUAUUCUCUUGCCUGGUACAAAAAUCCUUAUCCCAGUCAUGAACAUGAGCUCUGUCAGAGGCCCUCUAAACCACAGCAGUCUGAAGGGAUAUUAUAUGGGAACUGUUGAGUCACGUUCUGAACCACUGAUUGAUCACUGGGGAAAGGACCCCAUCAGCCCUGGGAGCACAGGUGAAGGCAAUUCCGCUGUGUGAUCAGAAGGGGUGGAGCCUGGCUGCAUCUCUGUUAGACCCCAUUUAAGGGCUGACCCCCACUGGUUGGGGAUCCUUCCUUGUGGAGUUUUCUCUAUAAGCCUACCUACUCAGAGGUGGGUGAGCAUUCCUUUCCUGUUUGUCCCUUUUUCUAUUCUGUUCCUGCAUUUCCUUUCUACUGUGCUAAUCUUUCCAACUGUAACAGAUAUCACAUAAAUAAAAACACAUUGGGAGAGAUUUCAGUAUUAGCUACAAAGUGAUAUGUCUUAUUUCCAGUCAUAAAGAGUUCCAGUAAGACUUCUGAUAAAGCAAAGACAUCUUUAAUGAUCUUGCUCUGUGCCA